GACGAACGCUGGCGGCGUGCUUAACACAUGCAAGUCGAACGGAGUGGCGAACGGGUGAGUAACACGUGGGAGAUCUGCCUUGCACUACGGGACAAGCUUGGGAAACUGGGUCUAAUACCGGCUAGUUCAAGAUGAGCUCGCGGCCUAACAGCUUGUUGGGGGGGUAAUGGCCUACCACGGGGGCGACGGGUAGCCGGCCUGGGAGGGUGUACGGGGACAAUGGGACUACGAUACGGCGCAGUAUCUAACGGUAGGCAGUCGUGGGGAAUCUGGCACAAUGGGCGGGCGCGUGAGAAGGCGGCGUCGGGUGGGGAAUGCAGGGCUUCGGGUUGUGAACUCCUUUCGACAGGGACGCGGUACCUGUAUAAGAAGCACCGGCUAACUACGUGCCAGCAGCCGCGGUAAUAC
rnacentral:rRNA from 1 species